UACGUAGGGUGCGAGCGUUGUCCGGAAUUAUUGGGCGUAAAGAGCUCGUAGGCGGUUUGUCGCGUCUGCCGUGAAAGUCCGGGGCUCAACUCCGGAUCUGCGGUGGGUACGGGCAGACUAGAGUGAUGUAGGGGAGACUGGAAUUCCUGGUGUAGCGGUGAAAUGCGCAGAUAUCAGGAGGAACACCGAUGGCGAAGGCAGGUCUCUGGGCCAUAACUGACGCUGAGAAGCGAAAGCAUGGGGAGCGAACAGG
rnacentral:rRNA from 1 species